rnacentral:rRNA from 1 species
GGGGACCCGCAAGCGGUGGAUGAUGUGGAUUAAUUCGAUGCAACGCGAAAAACCUUACCUGCCCUUGACAUGUCAGGAACCUCGGAGAGAUCUGAGGGUGCUCGAAAGAGAGCCUGAACACAGGUGCUGCAUGGCUGUCGUCAGCUCGUGUCGUGAGAUGUUGGGUUAAGUCCCGCAACGAGCGCAACCCUUGUCAUUAGUUGCUACGCAAGAGCACUCUAAUGAGACUGCCGGUGACAAACCGGAGGAAGGUGGGGAUGACGUCAAGUCCUCAUGGCCCUUAUGGGUAGGGCUUCACACGUCAUACAAUGGUACAUACAGAGGGCCGUCAACCCGCGAGGGGGAGCUAAUCCCAAAAAGUGUAUCGUAGUCCGGAUUGUAGUCUGCGACUCGACUACAUGAAGUUGGAAUCGCUAGUAAUCGCGGAUCAGCAUGUCGCGGUGAAUACGUUCCCGGGUCUUGUACACACC